AUAGUGUUAGGAUACAGAAAGUUUGUGCUGUAGGAGACAGACAGAUUUGUGUAUUCCAAAACCUCACGUGCAUGUGAGAGUCCGCCAUUGUUUUACAAAGACAACCAAUAAGACACAGUGGUAGAAAUUGCAACCUAUAGGGCAACUCUGUAUAACAAACAACCAAUCAGAGUUCAUGCUGUAUUCUGCGCACAAAUUUGAAUAUAUGUAAAUGUAACUGUAUAAACUCCACAAACUCGAACAGUUGAAUUGGACAUUUUUGUGUGAAUCCCUGUUGCUGGCUUUCUGUAUAAUAAAUGCUUCCUGAUUUUAAACACUAACUUCGGAUCUGCUUCUACCUGGAACGACGGUCACUAUUGUUCUUGGCAACAUUUCUGGUUACCAACAAUUUGGCGCUGCGAGCAGGGUGGAUUCGUCUUCCAGAACUUCGUUGUUUUCCUGACCAAAAAAGUGAGUAAACGGGUUUUACUACCAUUGGCUUGGCGAAUUGGACGGCAAAACUGCGGAAGUCUGGAACGCUCCACCCAGUGGUACGAUAACGUAUAUCUUGACCGGUGUAGAAGCGAUCAGUUGUUUGUGCUUAAAAACUGUGUCUUUUGGUAUAACGUCUGUGUAACGUUACACGAUUGUUUGUUAUAAAUAUCAGUGCUGAUGAUGUGUUACCAGUGCUGCUGACUGUGAUAUAGGCCUGUGUAUUAAGCCUAUUGUGACCGGGUGUUUGUGAGUCACCCCUGCCUAUGGAAAGUGUGAAUCCAGGCUAAAUUCUACACGUGGUUGCGUGGCCGUGGACUGCAGAAGGUACCAUCCUCGGUUCUGACGGCAUGAGAUUACUGAAAGCUACUGUUGCAUACUCGCCUAUGGCUUUAUCAGUUUGUGACGCUUCUCAUAAACGCAAGACAUUGCCAUUAGCUGCUCUUUCCCAUACUGCUAUAGCAUCUGUUGCAACACCUAUUGUCCAUUCCUGGGAUUUGACUAACAAGUUCCAAGCUUUAUGUGCAACAUUCCCUGCAUGCUGGUCUGUGCACAAACUGGAUUGUGGAGCUGCACCAUUACCACCACUUGAGACUCUGAAAGAUAAACAAAAGGAGGGGGGGCAAGAAUCGCAGACAUAUGAACCUGGACAAUGGGUUAUGAUAAGAGCCCCUCAUCCUAGAUCUUUCCAACCUCGAUGGCAAGGACCACACCAGGUCUUACUAACCUCUGAGACUGCUCUUCGAGUUACAGGCAUCCCGGUCUGGAGCCACCAAUCCCGGACCAAACCAUGCCCAUCACCCGAAGACCUCAAAAAGCCUGAAGAACUCCCUGCCACGGACGACUGCAGCCUUCACGAAUCAGGUGCAAACGUUCCAAUUUUUUUCAAAUACUCAACCAAAUUGAGCAUUCAAGUUAUGCUCCCAUCCAACAUGCUGAAUUCAUUUGUAAUUAUAAUCACAGUUUUGAGCCAUGGUGGAGUAAGUGCUGUGGACAAUAACAUUUACAUGCAAUUAGUUCACAUGACAGCCAAACAUGCAAAUAAGACUGGCUGCUAUGUCUGUGGAUUAAUACCACAUUCUGUCGCACUUGGUGUUCCAAUGAUGUCCGUACCUAUCGCCUCCAAGUAUAACACUGCAGAUAGCGAUAGCAAAAGUGAACUUGUUACCAGACCUAAACAUAUAUGUGAUCCUGAACCCAUUAACAUUGCUCUGUCUCUUGGCCCAUAUCUGUGGUGCCUCAAACAAAAUGGCUCUAUUUAUGUUGGAGAGACCCUGGACUGCAAUACGGUUAUUAACUACCAUGAUAAACCUGUACAAAACCACACAGCUAUGGGAGUCUAUUGGGUUUGUGGGAACAAUGCCUAUUCUGAGUUGCCUAAUUCAUGGUCUGGUAUCUGCGCCUUAGGACAUUUGGUCCCGGCCAUGAGAAUUACAUCUAUUCUACCGGACCGAGUCAGAUAUGAAAGAUCAACUGACGUCUUUGGAACUCACCAUCAGUCUGUUUGGAACAGAGCACUUGGUGCUCUCAUUCCUACUUAUGGGGUUAUGUCCGCUCUAGAUCAAAUUGGCGACCUCUCCAAAGAGGUAGAGCUUUUGGCCAAUAGCACGGCAUUAGGUCUAGGCAAAAUUUCAGAGGAAUUGACAGCUGUCAGAGUGAUGGCUCUACAGAACAGAGCUGCAUUAGAUUAUAUCCUCUCAGCUCAGGGUGGGACAUGUAAAAUAAUUGGCAUCGAAUGCUGUUCCUAUAUUCCCGAUAAUCAGGAUGACCUGAAACGUGUGAUCUCAAAAAUCAAUGAUGUUUCCCGGUCCGCACAUGAAAUAUCACCUACAACACCUGGUUUUCUUGAAUGGUUAUCGAGCUAUUUGGGUGACCUUGGCAAAAUUGUAGUUGAAUACAUUUUUCUGAUUAUACUGGGAUUAACUGUACUGGCAUUGAUAAUUAAAGGUGUGAAAUUAAUUUUCGUACAGUUAAUCUGUGGUAAAACUAAUGAGCAAACCACACAAGUUGUUCACUAUACAAAGACUCCGACAGCAUAC